rnacentral:rRNA from 1 species
AACCUUUACACUGCACGACAGUGCGAUAAGGGAAUCCCAAGUGCGUAGGCAUAGAGCCUACGCUUUUGUCCACCGUAGGGAGGUGGACGAAUAAGGGCUGGGCAAGACCGGUGCCAGCCGCCGCGGUAAUACCGGCAGCCCGAGUGAUGGCCGAUCUUAUUGGGCCUAAAGCGUCCGUAGCCGGCCGCACAAGUCCAUCGGAAAAUCCACCCGCUCAACGGGUGGGCGUCCGGUGGAAACUGUGUGGCUUGGGACCGGAAGGCGCGACGGGUACGUCCGGGGUAGGAGUGAAAUCCCGUAAUCCUGGACGGACCGCCGAUGGCGAAAGCACGUCGCGAGAACGGAUCCGACAGUGAGGGACGAAAGCUAGGGUCUCGAACCGGAUUAGAUACCCGGGUAGUCCUAGCCGUAAACAAUGCCUGCUAGGUGUGGCUCCCACUACGAGUGGGUGCUGUGCCGUAGGGAAGCCGCUAAGCAGGCCGCCUGGGAAGUACGUCCGCAAGGAUGAAACUUAA